rnacentral:rRNA from 1 species
CCUACGGGUGGCAGCAGUGGGGAAUAUUGGGCAAUGGGCGCAAGCCUGACCCAGCAACGCCGCGUGAAGGAAGAAGGCUUUCGGGUUGUAAACUUCUUUUAAGAGGGAAGAGCAGAAGACGGUACCUCUUGAAUAAGCCACGGCUAACUACGGGCCAGCAGCCGCGGUAAUACGUAGGUGGCAAGCGUUGUCCGGAUUUACUGGGUGUAGAGGGCGUGUAGCCGGGCUGACAAGUCAGAUGUGAAAUCCGGGGGCUCAACCCCCGAACUGCAUUUGAAACGGUUGGUCUUGAGCAUCGGAGAGGCAGGCGGAAUUCCUAGGGUAGCGGUGAAAUGCGUAGAUAUUAGGAGGAACACCAGUGGCGAAGGCGGCCUGCUGGACGACAACUGACGGUGAGGCGCGAAAGCGUGGGGAGCAAACAGGAUUAGAUACCCCAGUAGUC